CUGGGAGGUGGAUGUUUACUU
rnacentral:miRNA from 3 species